GAAGGAGGCGGCUAGUUUCAAGAGCACGCGGAAAGCAGGGCAGGACACGCAAGGCCGCGAUAAAGAUAACGGGGAAAGUCCCGCCUCAGCCACGCCUCCUCCGUCUCAGCCAGGCCCUUCCCGUCUCAAGUCAGCCGGGUUACCUUUGAGGACGAUCGGGAAGCUACAACGGGUCCAGAAUGCAGCAGCUCACCUACUCAUGGGUGCCAGAAAAUAUGACAGACUAUCAAGUGUAGCGAAAGCAGAUCUGGAUGCAACCUUUUGCCAUUGUCUAGGGUAAAAAGGCAAGGAGAUGCAGGUAAAGCGCAGAGGAAGUUUCCGAAGAUAUUGCUCUUGUGGCAGUCGACAAAAGACUGAGUGCCUAUUUAUUGCAGGAUACAUUCUCUUCUACAACUAAAGCAUAAUCAAUUUUCCAGAACUAUCAUCUGACAGCAAGUAAACAGGUCCAGUUCAUUCCUAGUCUUCCAAAGCAGACAGCCAUGCAGCACGAACCCUUAUAUCUAUAUCAAGAUAUGACUGCAUUACUGAAUGAAAAGUUUAGGCCACAACUAGUACAAUGGCAUUCUGGGCCAAACGAGUUGCAUCCGAUAUAAGGAAUGCAGCAUGUUAUCUGCCAAGAUCCUCAGUCAAAAAUCUCUUCCUUUCCAGACAUUGAGGACUGGCUAAGGCAACAUAUUUGAUUUGUUUGUGGUUAUAUUUUUGUUCCAUGCUCUGGUUAUAUAGUACUCUCUCAUAUUAAAAGCAGUGAAUCAUCUUUUCUCUGGUAAGAGUAGAGGAUACAAAGAAAAAAGAAAGGCCUGCUCAAGGACAGAAAACACUAUAACAAGAAAAAAGUAUAAUACUCUUACCUUUGGUUUUUUGAUCUGUGACCUGUAAGUUAAAUAAUAAAGAAUAUAAACACAGAUUCAAUCUUCCUACUGUUUAGUAGUGAGUUAAACUUGGUUUCAAGGUGACAUCAGUGCGAAUGUGUGUGCGCGUGCGCAUGAACGCAUAAAGACAUAGACACCCCCGCAAAUGUUUUUCUUAUUUUCAACAAAUACAAAAACUGUGCAACAACAUAAGAGACCCCAAAUAUAAGCCAGAAAACGUGAGCCAUUUGAUUACACGCAAGUUCAGUGUUAAGAAGAGAUUGUUGGUUAUUGAGCAUGCAGGUACAACUUGAUCGGAGACAAAUGAAAACAAAAUUCAAGAACAAACAUCAUUCCAAAAUUUGAUUUGUGUGGAUGGAGGGUUGCAAACUGACCAUCCAUUAUGGACAUAUUCAAUAAAUGGAUACUGUAUUUCCCCCCAAAU